GAUGAACGCUGGCGGCGUGCCUAAUACAUGCAAGUCGAGCGAACGGACGAGAAGCUUGCUUCUCUGAUGUUAGCGGCGGACGGGUGAGUAACACGUGGAUAACCUACCUAUAAGACUGGGAUAACUUCGGGAAACCGGAGCUAAUACCGGAUAAUAUUUUGAACCGCAUGGUUCAAAAGUGAAAGACGGUCUUGCUGUCACUUAUAGAUGGAUCCGCGCUGCAUUAGCUAGUUGGUAAGGUAACGGCUUACCAAGGCAACGAUGCAUAGCCGACCUGAGAGGGGGGUCGGCCACACUGGAACUGAGACGCGGUCCAGACUCCUACGGGAGGCAGCAGUAGGGAAUCUUCCGCAAUGGGCGAAAGCCUGACGGAGCAACGCCGCGUGAGUGAUGAAGGUCUUCGGAUCGUAAAACUCUGUUAUUAGGGAAGAACAUAUGUGUAAGUAACUGUGCACAUCUUGACGGUACCUAAUCAGAAAGCCACGGCUAACUACGUG
rnacentral:rRNA from 1 species